CGCUGCUUCGCGCUCUCAUGAAAAAGUGGUAGUGUGAUAUCAAGUUUGCAAGCAGAAGAACCGCGUGAAAUCAAGUUUGCCAGUCGAUGCGUGCUCGUUUUUUCUCUCGCAAAACCACUACGAAAAAACUAUUUGAAAUCCUAACACACGCACGAACGGAAGUGAGCACGGACCACGAUAGAAACAAUAUUCAAUUGAUUGGAGUGCCGAAAACAACAGAACAGGAGAGGAAAGAAGGCAGGAACGAUCCUCCAACGUGCUAGCGCCUGGUAGAGGAGAAGCGGCAGGAAGGUAGGGACGAUCAUCCAGCGCGCUAGCGCAGCAUGUGGGAGCAGCGAGAGGGAGACAAGCAGGAAGAAUUUUUAACGUGUGGACACCAUUCGACGAAGACAACGCUGGAUUAAAGGAAGAACGAAGAGAGAAGGCAGGCAAGACGGGUACGUGUGUAUCUCGCACGGGUUUUCGGCAGUGUGAAUUGUGUGAGUAUUGAAAAGUGUAUGUGUGAGUAGAGGUAAAGAGGUAAAAUAAAGAGCGAAUGUGUAGAACGGAAAAAUGAGAGAGAGUCUGUGUUUGUUUUGGGAGAGAGGAGAGAAUGAAAGAAAUUGAACAAUAAUGUAGCAUACAGAAACUGUAUGAUACACGCUGUCGCACCAUUGCAGAAACGUGCUUUUUAGUGCUGCUAAUGAGCACGAUUUGAUAACGUUUU